GUUGUAUGGUUAAGUGAAUAAGCGUGCACGGUGGAUGCCUAGGCAAUUAGAGGCGAUGAAGGACGUGGUAAUCUGCGAUAAGUCCAGGGGAGUUGAUAACAAGCGUUAUAUCCUGGAAUUUCCGAAUGGGGCAACCCGGCACAUAGUGUCAUCGUUAUGUGAAUACAUAGCAUAACGAAGCGAACGAGGGGAACUGAAACAUCUAAGUACCCUUAGGAAAAGAAAUCAACCGAGAUUCCGAUAGUAGCGGCGAGCGAAAUUGGAACAGCCCUUAAGCUGUUUAGAAGUUAGUGGAAUGUUACUGGAAAGUACAGCGAUACAGGGUGAUAGCCCCGUACACAAAAACUUCUUUAUAGUGAAAGCGAGUAGGUCGGGACACGAGAAAUCCUGACUGAAUAUGGGGGGACCAUCCUCCAAGGCUAAAUACUCCUAAUUGACCGAUAGUGAACCAGUACCGUGAGGGAAAGGCGAAAAGAACCCCUGUGAGGGGAGUGAAAUAGAACCUGAAACCGUGUACGUACAAGCAGUAGGAGCGGACAUUGUGUUCCGUGACUGCGUACCUUUUGUAUAAUGGGUCAACGACUUAAUUUUAGUAGCAAGGUUAACCAAAUAGGGGAGCCGUAGGGAAACCGAGUCUUAACUGGGCGAAUAGUUGCUAGGAUUAGACCCGAAACUUGGUGAUCUAGCCAUGAGCAGGUUGAAGGUUGAGUAACAUCAACUGGAGGACCGAACCCACUAAUGUUGAAAAAUUAGGGGAUGACUUGUGGCUGGGGGUGAAAGGCCAAUCAAACCAAGAGAUAGCUGGUUCUCCUCGAAAGCUAUUUAGGUAGCGCCUCGUGUAUCACUGUUGGGGGUAGAGCACUGUUUGGGCUAGGGGGUCAUCCCGACUUACCAACCCCAUGCAAACUCCGAAUACCAACAAGUGCAAUCACGGGAGACACACGGCGGGUGCUAACGUCCGUCGUGGAAAGGGAAACAACCCAGACCGCCAGCUAAGGUCCCUAAGUAUAUGUUAAGUGGGAAACGAUGUGGAAAGGCUCAGACAGCUAGGAAGUUGGCUUAGAAGCAGCCAUCUUUUAAAGAAAGCGUAAUAGCUCACUAGUCGAGUCGGUCUGCGCGGAAGAUUUAACGGGGCUAAACAUAUCACCGAAGCUGCGGAUGCUUAUUUAUAGGCAUGGUAGAGGAGCGUUCUGUAAGCCGUCGAAGGGAAAGGUGUAAACCAUCCUGGAGGUAUCAGAAGUGCGAAUGUUGACAUGAGUAACGAUAAGGGGGGUGAAAAACCCCCCCGCCGGAAGACCAAGGGUUCCUGUCCAACGUUAAUCGGGGCAGGGUGAGUCGACCCCUAAGGCGAGGCCGAAAGGCGUAGUCGAUGGGAAACGGGUUAAUAUUCCCGUACCCUUUAUUAUUGCGAUGGGAGGACGGAGAAGGCUAGGUGGGCCUGGCGAUGGUUGUCCAGGUUCAAGUGCGUAGGCGGGAGACUUAGGUAAAUCCGGGUUUCUA
rnacentral:rRNA from 1 species